UUGAUAUGCCCAUGGCAUCGUCCUCCCUCAAAGAUGAUGAGCAGGUGACUAAUUUUUCUGCUGUUGUUAUUAUGGCAAAAAUAACACAACAUAGUUGUUUGGAUGUUGAUAGUGAGGUUGGUAGACACAGUUCUUACAGUGCGGGUUAAUGUAAGAUACAUACAUUGUGAGGACUGUGUGUGUUUUGGAUAUGCAAGUCUAUCGAAAGAUGGGCUCCCAAGUCCACAUGAAACACAGACCCUACAGUGUAUGAAGCUGUCAGGUACAUUAUUAUGAGGACUGUGUGUGGAUACUGUCGUGUGUUAUCUUAGUUUACACUGAGGAAUUAAUUUUCUAUCACUAUUAUUGCAUUCCAUUUGCCUCAUUUAUGUCACUAACCAGUGUAGCUACGUAACUGCAUUGUAAAGUCUCAACGUAUCUGUGUUGAAUGGAUGUUAAUGCCCUUUUGUGUUUGUUUGCACAACGUUUCAGGGCACACCGAUCUUCCUCAUGUUGAUAUGCCCAUGGCAUCGUCCUCCCUCAAAGAUGAUGAGCAGGGCACACCGAUCUUCCUCAUGUUGAUAUGCCCAUGGCAUCGUCCUCCCUCAAAGAUGAUGAGCAGGGCAUACCGAUCGUCCUCAUGUUGAUACGCCCAUGGCAUCGUCCUCCCUCAAAGAUGAUGAGCAGGGCACACCGAUCUUCCUCAUGUUGAUACGCCCAUGGCAUCGUCCUCCCUCAAAGAUGAUGAGCAGGGCAUACCGAUCUUCCUCAUGUUGAUAUGCCCAUGGCAUCGUCCUCCCUCAAAGAUGAUGAGCAGCAUUUCCUGAAAAUGGUGCUGAAGGGGAAAAUCCUCAAAGGAAACAAAAAUCUCCAUGAUGUCCCACAGAGAUUGGAGCAGUGAGGAGACAUUUCUGUGGGCACAUUGCUAAUGGGAGACUAUCCAUUGUGA